rnacentral:rRNA from 1 species
UACGUAGGGUGCAAGCGUUAAUCGGAAUUACUGGGCGUAAAGCGUGCGCAGGCGGUUUGGUAAGAAAGAUGUGAAAUCCCCGGGCUCAACCUGGGAAUUGCAUUUUGACUGCCCGGCUUAGAGUGUGUCAGAGGGGGUAGAAUUCCACGUGUAGCAGUGAAAUGCGUAGAGAUGUGGAGGAAUACCGAUGGCGAAGGCAGCCCCCUGGGAUAACACUGACGCUCAUGCACGAAGCGUGGGAGCAAACAGG